rnacentral:rRNA from 1 species
CCUACGGGCGGCAGCAGUGGGGGAUAUUGCACAAUGGGGGAAACCCUGAUGCAGCAACGCCGCGUGAGUGAAGAAGUAUUUCGGUAUGUAAAGCUCUAUCAGCAGGGAAGAGAAUGACGGUACCUGACUAAGAAGCCCCGGCUAACUACGUGCCAGCAGCCGCGGUAAUACGUAGGGGGCGAGCGUUAUCCGGAUUUACUGGGUGUAAAGGGAGCGUAGACGGGUGGUCAAGUCUGAAGUGAAAGCCCGGGGCUUAACCCCGGAACGGCUUUGGAAACUGCGCAGCUAGAGUGCAGGAGAGGUAAGCGGAAUUCCUAGUGUAGCGGUGAAAUGCGUAGAUAUUAGGAGGAACACCAGUGGCGAAGGCGGCUUACUGGACAGUAACUGACGUUGAGGCUCGAAAGCGUGGGGAGCAAACAGGAUUAGAUACCCCAGUAGUC